rnacentral:rRNA from 1 species
UACGUAGGGUGCGAGCGUUGUCCGGAAUUAUUGGGCGUAAAGAGCUCGUAGGCGGUGUGUCGCGUCGGCCGUGAAAACCUGUGGCUUAACUAUGGGCUUGCGGUCGAUACGGGCAUCACUGGAGUUCGGCAGGGGAGACUGGAAUUCCUGGUGUAGCGGUGAAAUGCGUAGAUAUCGAGAGGAACACCUGCGGCGAAGGCGGGUUGCUGGGCUGACACUGACGCUGAAGCGCGAAAGCUAGGGGAGCGAACGGG